rnacentral:hammerhead_ribozyme from 1 species
AUCCAGCUGACGAAUCCCGAAUAGGUCGAAACGCGCGUCAUGGAU